rnacentral:rRNA from 1 species
UACGUAGGGUGCAAGCGUUGUCCGGAAUUAUUGGGCGUAAAGAGCUCGUAGGCGGUCUGUCGCGUCUGCUGUGAAAACCCGGGGCUCAACCCCGGGCUUGCAGUGGAUACGGGCAGACUAGAAUUCGGUAGGGGAGACUGGAAUUCCUGGUGUAGCGGUGAAAUGCGCAGAUAUCGGGAGGAACACCAGUGGCGAAGGCGGCACUCUGGGCCGGAACUGACGCUGAGGAGCGAAAGCGUGGGGAGCGAACAGG